UACGUAGGCAGCGAGCGUUGUUCGGAGUUACUGGGCGUAAAGGGUGUGUAGGCGGUUCUUUAAGUUUGGUGUGAAAUCUCCCGGCUCAACCGGGAGGGUGCGCCGAAUACUGAGGGACUCGAGUGCGGGAGAGGAAAGUGGAAUUCCUGGUGUAGCGGUGAAAUGCGUAGAUAUCAGGAGGAACACCGGUGGUGUAGACGGCUCUCUGGACCGUAACUGACGCUGAGACACGAAAGCGUGGGUAGCAAACAGG
rnacentral:rRNA from 1 species